rnacentral:rRNA from 1 species
CCUACGGGAGGCUGCAGUGGGGAAUAUUGGACAAUGGGGGGAACCCUGAUCCAGCCAUGCCGCGUGUGUGAAGAAGGCCCUCGGGUUGUAAAGCACUUUCAGUGAGGAAGAACGCCUGGUGGUUAAUACACAUCAGGAAAGACAUCACUCACAGAAGAAGCACCGGCUAACUCCGUGCCAGCAGCCGCGGUAAUACGGAGGGUGCGAGCGUUAAUCGGAAUUACUGGGCGUAAAGCGCGCGUAGGUGGCUUGAUAAGCCGGUUGUGAAAGCCCCGGGCUCAACCUGGGAACGGCAUCCGGAACUGUCAAGCUAGAGUGAAGGAGAGGAAGGUAGAAUUCCCGGUGUAGCGGUGAAAUGCGUAGAGAUCGGGAGGAACACCAGUGGCGAAGGCGGCCUUCUGGACUGAAACUGACGCUGAGGUGCGAAAGCGUGGGUAGCAAACAGGAUUAGAUACCCGGGUAGUC